AUGCAUGGAACAGUGCCUGGUACAAGGAAGGCAUUCGACAGAAUUGUGAUGAUUUUUACUAAAGAAGCAAUUGGAUACAAAACACGCAGAAAGCAAAGCAGCAGAGAUGAACGGAAUUACCACCAGCAGAAGGAUAUGCUGCUCAGCGUUGAAGCCCAAAAUGCUGUUCUUGGUACAAGCCUUGAGUUCCUGGUAUUCGACUCUGAAACCACGUGCCUUGGAGUCAGCCACUUGGGCCCAGACUCAAACCCCUGGAUUUGAAAACUGAAGUUGAAGGGAGCAGACACCAUGGUGAUGUUUGCAAGAAGAUUAAAGAACUCUCCAAGGAAAUCCUGUUUAAGACAGAGGGAGGAUUCCCAGUAUUCAUCUGCACUAGUAACCAUGGUUUGUAUUAGCUUCUAUAAAAUACUGGCUUAUCAAGUCCAUGUAGGUGAUAGUAAUAUUGAGCCCAUCCAUCAUGCAAGUUGUCUCCCAUUUUUAUGUUAGCCAAUAGCCAGGUCACACAGCUCUCCAAGAACAUUGUCAAGACAAAAGUUUAUUUGGAAAGGAUGUGACCUCUGGGGUGUCAAUAAAAUUCUGCAGAUGGCUUUAAACUGAAAGGCACCUUGACUCAAAUAAGAUAUGACAUCUCUGGGAUUUGUUUGUUGAAUCAUUCAGCAAGAUUCAAUGAAGACCUAUUGCAUGCUAAGGAUACAGAGAUGACUAAGAGAUAAUUCCAGUCUUUACACAACUUACAGAGAUGAACGCUAGAAUUCCAAGACUCUAAAACAGAGACCUCAGCAAAGCUUAGGGAGAACAGUGCCGCUUAAUUCUCUCCAGGACUGGGGCAGUGAAGCAGGGGUGAAAAGAGUGGGGAAUUAUAAGAAGCCUCUAAAGGAAGCUUUGAGAUGAGCUUAGCAGAAUGAAGAAAAAAAAAGCAUUCCAGAGCAUUCCAGGUAGAGAGAAGAGCAUGAGCAAAUUUUUGGAGACUUGAAAUUUUAUUAUGUACACAAAGAUGUUGUUCAUACCGGAAAUCUGUCUUAAAUUCCUUGCCCUGCUACCAACUGCUAUAUGAUUUUAGACAUCUCAUUCUGAAUCUUUGAUUCGUAGUCUCAAGUGUAGUAUUUAUAUUUACUGUAGAGGUACGGGAAGAGAGAGAAAGAGAGACUUCUAUUUAUGGUAAGAAGGGAUACAGAAUUGCCUUGUCAGAGAGAGUCCUAGCUGGAUUUAUCACAACCUCUAGGCAUCUCUCCAUGAGACACACGUCUGUCUACAAGGCCAUGGAGGAAGAAUUCCAAGGUUAGCUGGUGAUUGUCAUUCAUAUUGCCUCAUAUCUGAGAUCUAUGAUCAACUUCUCAAGAGAAGAGGAAGUAAAUAUAAAAAGGCUCGACAGCUGAAAGUAGCCAGUCUUGGCAGAAUUGACUUCUGGUUCUCUGGGAGAGCCAAGAGAUGGAGUUGCCCCUUAGCUUCGUGCUGUUUUCUCAUGCUAGACCACUGACACUCUCCCUCUUUUACCGACCAGACCCAGCUUCAACAUCAACUCUUCUGACAUUCCUUCCCUGACCCACCAGGAGAGGUCAGGUGCUCUCUCUUCUGUGCUUUCCAACACUACAUGCUUCCUUGACUGUAGCCUUUAGCAUACGGAAUUGUAAUUGCCUAUUUGCUUUUCAACACCCCUCAUUAGACUGUACAUUUCAUUAGGACACCAUGCCUCUCCUUUAUACUGCUAGCCUGCUAUGCAACAUGGGCAAAGUAAUUGCUGAAUAUGAAUAAGUGAACAAAUUAAUGGGAAAUGAGAGGAUGAAGGUUGGAAAAUAGGAAGCAAAUAGCAUUUUGCUCAAAGUGUCAAGAAGACUAGUUCCCUACAGCAUGAAUGAUAUACUCUCUUGGAUCCUGAGUACCAGUUUGGAUGAGUGCGAGGGAGAAACAAAGGAAGUCCCAGAAAAAAAGAAGUGAUGUGUUACAACUUACAACUGUCCUUGGAAUCAUAUGUUAUCUCCCAGCUGCUGGAAUUUUAAAAGCAGAUGAGGUUUCUGAGCAUUUUUCUAUGGGCGUCAAAAGGCAUAAUUCACUCUUAUUUGCAAUAAUUAGCUUCAGGUGGCUAGUCCAGAUGAG
ensembl:lncRNA